CCCCCGGUAAUAUAGCAAAGAUCACGAAAUAGCCCAAAAAAGUACAUUUAGGUCAAAAUUUGAGUAGAAAAAAAACAAAUAGAGGAAUUCCAUUUUCCGUCCUCAUUCAUCGGAGAGCUCUCUUUCGGCUUUCCGAAAAGGUAUCACAUGCCAAGUUUGGCCUCACGGUCUAAAAGUUAUAGAGUCAUACAUUUUAAACAAAACAAAAUAGAGAAAAACCGAAAAAAAGAAGGAUGCAACACGAGGACUUUCCGGGAGGUCACCCAUCCUAGUACUACUCUCGCCCAAGCACCCUUAACUGCGGAGUUCUGAUGGGAUCAGGUGCAUUAGUGCUGGUAUGAUCGCAUGUGGUACUACAUGCAAUGUAAUCGUAUAUAUUCUUUUUUAAAGACUUUAUGAUCCAUUUGCCGUGGGUCCCACCAGCUAUGUAGGAAUACCCUAUCUUCUUUAUAAGAGCUUUGAUACAUGCAAAAUAUUUGAAAACAAUGUCCGAACAUAUAAUUUUCCCCCCGUUAUAUAGCAAAGAUCACGAAAAGGCCCGAAAAAGUACAUUUAGUUCAAAAUUUGGAGUAGAAAAAAAGACAAUAGAAGAAUUUCAUUUUCCUUCCUCAGU
rnacentral:sRNA from 1 species